UACGUAGGCAGCAAGCGUUGUUCGGAAUUACUGGGCGUAAAGAGUGUGUAGGCGGUGCUCUAAGUUCGGUGUGAAAUCUCCCGGCUUAACUGGGAGGGUGCGCCGGAAACUGGAGUGCUCGAGCGUGGGAGAGGAAAGCGGAAUUCCUGGUGUAGCGGUGAAAUGCGUAGAUAUCAGGAGGAACACCAAUGGCGAAGGCAGCACUCUGGGACGUGACUGACGCUGAGACGCGAAAGCCAGGGGAGCAAACGGG
rnacentral:rRNA from 1 species